rnacentral:rRNA from 1 species
GCCUCAAAUCGGGUGAGACUACCCGCUGAACUUAAGCAUAUCAAUAAA